CUCUUAUGAAGAAACCGUUCUUACGGAAGCCCAGAUGAGACAACUUGAGACAGGAUUCAGAAACGCUGAUUUUAGUAACCUUAACCCUCGGCCCUUGGUGGGAACUUCGGCUCUGUGGGAAUUAGUCUUUGGGGGACUGAUGGUCAUGCUGAAAUCUUAUUGCGUAGGAAAUUAAGUACAACAAAGAAGACCCGUCGUGAGAGGAGAGUGCGGAAGAAAUGCGAAGUCUACGGGAGGUGGCAGCUGCAGAAGCUUGGUGUUGGAUUUGGCGUUAGGAGACCGGGAGGAGCCCAGCUUCCGGUCCAGACGGUUAUCUUGUUGACUUGCACGACUGCAAACGCCCUGAGCUGCUUUUGCAGUCUGAAACAUCAGCGAUCCCAUCAAAAUAUUCUGUUUCUUGGGAUAUAAGAAACAUCCCAAGGCGGGCUGUAGAGCGAGAGAUUUGGACUCGAUUUAAAUACAGACAAAAUAGUAUGCAUUUACUAACACCACAUCUCACCCCCACGAAACUUGGUAAGGGCAGCAACAGAACUUUAUCUGCCAUAUGCACUCCUGUAUUCCUAUUACCAAAUAGUGCCAGGGACUAAGUGAAUAUUUGUCCAAUGAAUGAGUUUUAAGUAGGAAACGUUUGCAUAGAAUCAUUUUGUUUCUUUUGGAGUUCAAAUCUUCGGAUAUUUUACCCUUCCCAAUCCAAAGAAAAGUCUCUGAGUGAAGAGAUGGGAACAAAAUGUAAGUUAAAUAUGUUGCUUUAACAACUGUUUAUUGAACUCGUGCUAUAGACUAUAGAAUGAUGAGCAAAACCAGGCACAGUUUCGGCCCUGGAAGAGGAAAGGCAGGCAUAUAUUUAUCAAGUAAGUACAUUAAUGGCGGCACUUAUCAGUUGAGAGAAGUGCGCUAAGGAAAGGAAUAUGAUUCUAUGAUAGCGUAUAAUAAAAGAUCCUUGACCGGGGAGGGGAAACGUACCAGUGAUUAACUGAUCUGAAGAAUCAGUAUAAAUUGACUUUGUAGAAAGUAUAGGUGGAUGGCUGAGUGGGACCAUCAUUCAGGAAGCAAAUGCCUGCAGAAAAAAACAUCAAUUUUAACAAGAAACGGUGUAUCAGAGAUGAAACUGAACCUAUUCCUUGUCUUUUCUUCUUGCUUCAGACAUAACUUUAAAAAAUUGCUUACGCUGUCUUUAGCCACAUCUCUUCCCCAAACUCCACACUGUUCGGCGUUUUAGCCGUCUCAAAUUUCCUUUUCUUAAAGACCCAUGACAAUCUUCAGUGUUGUGUCUUUUUCUACGUCGUGAUCCUUUUUUAAAGCUGAGCUCUUCUUGUUUUUCGUCUCCUUUCUCUUUUUUUUUUUUUUUUUUUGUGAUGGAGUCUCGCUCUGUCGCCCAGGCUGGAGUGCAGUUGCACAAUUUCGGCUCACUGCAAACUCCACCUCCCACGUUCAAGCAAUUCUCUGCCUCAGCCUCCCAAGCAGCUGGGAUUACAGGCGUCUGCCAGCAGGCCCGGCUAAUUUUUGUAUGUUUAGUAGAGACGGUGUUUCACCAUUUUGGCCAGGCUGGUCCUGAACUCCUGACCUCGUGAUCCACCCGCCUCGGCCUCCCAAAGUGCUGGGAUUACAGGUGUGAGCCACCACAUCCGGCCCUUCCUUUCUCUUAAGAUGAAAAUAUUGGUUCUUUUUUCCUACACACAAGGAGGCAAUGAAAAUAUUGGUUCUUUUCAUUGCCUUAUUAUUAAUGUUACUAUUAAUAAAUAUUAAUAUUAACAUAAUGGUUAUUUGCUUCAUCUACCUAUAUUCACAGGUAUAUAAACACAACAAUAGCAAUAACAGGAUAAAGAAUAAAAACAGAAUAACAAUAGAGAUAUUGCUAACAGAU
rnacentral:lncRNA from 1 species